rnacentral:sRNA from 1 species
CCCUGGUGACUGAGAUAUAAAAGCCAACCACAGCCCAGUGUAGAAUGUUUCUCUGCGUAAAGAGAUCUACCAUGCGUCUUGUGUUAAGUUUUGUCUUAGUCUGGGCAAUAGCCUACGCCAAACCUUCGGCAAGAGGGUUGGAUUUGGCUCGUCUAACCAGAA